UGUAUUUCAGCUCAUAGCUUGGAGACAUUUCAGUCUAUGGUCGGUUGGCUCCAAGGCAGGGAGGCAGGGCAGAGGGGCAUCACAGAAGAGAAACAGCUCCAAGGCAGAGGUGGCAGCUUCUCCCUUUAUCCCUUCUCAGGUACCUGCCUUUUGGGUGGUGCAGGGUGGGCCUUCCCAUUAUCCACACCCAGAACUAUGCUAAACCAAAGUGGACUAGUUUAGUAAUCAUGUACCCUUAAUCCCAGUAUCAUACCCUUGACCCCAGCAUCAUACACAACAGAGCCAGCCACCUCCAUAAAGCCCACUGUGACCUCAUGAGGCUUUGGGGGGAGAUCUAGAUAGAAGCCAUAAGAAGCCCCUUGCUUGACCAGCUGCUGCAUGUGAACACAUCACAUUUUUAUUCAGCUGGAAGGAGGUCAUCAGCGUAGGGAGAAAAAUGCCCACUGACACCACUUAGACCUUGUCCCUCCACCACAUUUCCCCCUGACCUAGACAUGUAUUUUCUGGCCCAAAGUCCACUAGGAUCUCACUAUAGUUCAUGCUUGCCUUGAACUGGCUGUGAAGACCAGGCUAACCUCGAUCUCACAGUAAUCUUCCUGCCUCAGACUCCUCAGUGAAAUUUAUCUCUCUGUAUUGUGAGUAGAACUCCAUUUUGCAUGUAUACCAUAUUUUCUUUAUGUAUUUAUCUGU
rnacentral:lncRNA from 1 species